CUCCUGCUGCUUAAGUAUUUACAACUAUCUGUCUAUCUAUCUAUCUAUUUAUUCAUUUAUUUAUUUUUCUAUAAAUAAAUCGACUCGAGUUCUUUCUAAUUUUGGUGGGAAAAAAACACUAGCUGGCCAGCGCCCAGAGUACGCUUCCUAGAAAGAAGACUGAAAAGGGAAAUGGAGUGUGCGCAUGCGCACUGCCCAAUCAGAGCAUGCGGCAGGAGCAUUUAUCAGUUCCCGACAUUCCAGAAGGUCUUCCGUUGUUUUUGUGGAUUAAUCGGAUUUUAUUCUUCACCAUGCGCGCGAUCAUGAAGCUCCUCAUCUGCUGUGUGUUCAUGCUGUUCCUGGUGAACGUAGUUCCAGCUGCAGGUUCUACCACAGAACUCCUGUCAUGCUGCUUUCAGCAGCUUGGUAAUAGAUCAGUGGUGUACAUACUGAACAACACCGUGGAGUCCGAUUUCACACAGUGGACCAGAAACAAAAAUCAAGAAGUUCAAUGUACAGAUUUGUGUGAACCGGGAUCAGCUAACCUUCCGAUUGGAGAGAAGCAUGAGACAAAUCAGCGUGAUGGAGGUGACGGAGGUUUGUAUCACACGCAGAUAAACUUUGUUAUUUCUUGCAGCAGAUUGUUUUAGGAAUAGACAUAUGGUAUAUUUACAAAAAUUAUAUUUGUUGCCAGCGGUUUAGACAUUAAUGGCUGUGUGUUGAGUUAUUUUAAGGGGACAGCAAAUUUACACUGUUCCACAAGCUGUACACUCACUACUUUACAUUGUAGCAAAGUGUCAUGUCUUCAGUGUUGUCACAUGAAAAGAUAUUAUCAAAUAUUUAUAAAAAUG
ensembl:lncRNA